rnacentral:rRNA from 1 species
UACGGGGGGAGCAAGCGUUGUUCGGAUUUACUGGGCGUAAAGAGCGUGUAGGCGGCCAGGUAGGUCUGCUGUGAAAACUCGAGGCUCAACCUCGAGACGUCGGCGGAAACCAUCUGGCUAGAGUCCGGAAGAGGAGAGUGGAAUUCCUGGUGUAGCGGUGAAAUGCGCAGAUAUCAGGAAGAACACCCGUGGCGAAGGCGUCUCUCUGGGACGGUACUGACGCUGAGACGCGAAAGCGUGGGGAGCGAACAGG